rnacentral:sRNA from 1 species
UGCCUAAACUCUGUUUAUAUAGGGCAUGGCACAAAAACCCAGUAAGAGAUGUUAAGCUCGUCGUCAGAGCACUCUUACUGGGUCAUAGCUCGAAAGAGUUAUGGGUGGCCGAAAGGCUAUC